rnacentral:misc_RNA from 1 species
GAAAUGCGAUAAGUAAUGUGAAUUGCAGAAUUCAGUGAAUCAUCGAAUCUUUGAACGCACAUUGCGCCCGCCAGUAUUCUGGCGGGCAUGCCUGUUCGAGCGUCAUUUCAACCAUCAAGCCCCGGGCUUGUGUUGGGGACCUGCGGCUGCCACAGGCCCUGAAAACCAGUGGCGGGCUCGCUGUCACACCGAGCGUAGUAGAUUCUCAUCUCGCUCAGGGCGUGCUGCGGGUUCCGGCCGUAAAACAGCCUUAUUUUACCCAAGGUUGACCUCGGAUCAGGUAGGAAGACCCGCUGAACUUAAGC